ACCUCACAAACAGAGCACGAAGAAGAAGAAGAAGAAGAAACAGAAAACAGAAAAAGUGUAAACCUGUGGCAACAAAAUCUGAGUUUUUUAAUAUUUAUAUUCUAUGGUGUGUGUGCGUGUGUGUAUUUUUGUGAAUUUUUUUUUUUUUUUUUUUAAAUUAAUUUAUCCUUUCCGAGUACAGUUACAAUGAUAUGAGUGACACAUAUA
rnacentral:ribozyme from 15 species